rnacentral:rRNA from 1 species
UACGUAGGGUGCAAGCGUUAAUCGGAAUUACUGGGCGUAAAGCGUGCGCAGGCGGUUUUGUAAGUCUGUCGUGAAAGCCCUGGGCUCAACCUGGGAAUUGCGAUGGAGACUGCAAGGCUUGAAUCUGGCAGAGGGGGGGUAGAAUUCCACGUGUAGCAGUGAAAUGCGUAGAGAUGUGGAGGAACACCGAUGGCGAAGGCAGCCCCCUGGGUCAAGAUUGACGCUCAUGCACGAAAGCGUGGGGAGCAAACAGG